AUAAUAAUCUUUUUGAAUUAAGGCAUAUAAAAUAAUGGCCGCCUCAACAGCAUCCACCCCACUUUCUCUUUCUUCUCCGUCGGCUCCUCCUCCUCCUCGUCUUCAGGCGGCGGCCUCCUCCUCGCAAUGCCUAACUUUCCCUUCUCAGCCGGCGCUCAACACCAGCCAUCUUGCCAAGACCACUGCCUAUUGUCAGUACAGUAUAACUAUACAUAAUAUAUAUUAAUUAAUUAGUCAUGUAUGUACCGGCAAAUCUAUUAAUUUUUGUAUGUGUUUUUGUGCACUACUAAUGAUCGAUGCAGGUAGAAAAAUUGGCCGGAGUGUUGUUACUAUGGCUACUGGAGAGGCGCCAGCUGAAGUUGUCACCGCCACUGAGACUCCUGAGAUUGUUAAAACACUCCAACAAGCGGUAAUUAAUUUAUCAUAUAUUAUAAAUAUUAAUUACAAUGCACGUAAUAUAAUCUUAUUUUUUUUAAGAUAUAUACUAGUUGCGCUGAUUGAUAAUUCGAUAUAUCACUUGGUGAAUUGAGUUAAUUAUAAAUAAUGUCCUUAUUAGCAAUUCC
rnacentral:lncRNA from 1 species